UCUUCGAAACACUUAUCUGAUGUACCACUCAGCCUAGAGGGCAUAAACGGCUGGGCAUACCAUGACUUUGAGAACUGCAAAAAAUCUUCUCCACGUUUGACGUUGACUUCUCUUCACAUGUCUAUAAGUAACGUCCUCUUCAAAUUUAUUAUUUGUUCUUACACUCAACAUUUCUAUCUCGAUGGUGUUGUUAACGUUAAUAGCAUCUUUUUCCGUUCCCUUAAUUUUUUUUAAUGAUAUUACAUAUGUUCUAUUUUAACAUCUCACCAUCUCUCGCCUACUACGUUAUUGUAAUGGUUUUCAAAUUUUAGAAAUUUUACAAUACUUUAGUUUUUUUUUUCAGUGUUUAUUGUCGUUCUAAUUCCUGUAUUUUUUAUUUAAUUUCUCGAGAUCAUUGGCAUAAGUUGUCCUGUUAAGGUUUCCUGUCUUAUUUGCUUUGGCUUAUAAUUUGCUUAUCCCUUAUGAUCAUGUGUGACAUACUUGAAUGUUUGUCUUCUUAUUAUCUGGCUGGGAGUUGCGAUAACGAAAAUAUAGUAAGACAUUUUGCAUUUUUUAUUCAGAUAGUGAUUGUUUAUUUAGAUAUUGAUUUAUUAUGUUUUAUCACAAUUUGCUUGAGUUGGUGUGUGGUACUUGAUGUGUUGUCAAACUGGAAUUCACUAUUGCAGUAAGGUAGCUUGCAAUUCCAUAUUUGUGGCAUUAUGUGUGCGUAUGUGUUUCUUUAUGAAUCAAUAUUUCUACGUAUAUAUGUAUUUGUUUUAUAUGGAUUUGUUUUUAUAAACUUAACAUUAUUUUUAUUAAUUCUGUAGGAUUUCUUUAUCAUCUGUGAUAAUGAAUGAUGUCACGAUUUCUUUACAAAAAUCAUUGAAGAAACGAGUUGGAGAUUAACGAAUGAAUGGUUUUGUUUUCGGUUGGAAUAUUGUUUCAUGUCGUCUCUCCAUUCCCUUCGAAAUUAUUCCUACAAGAUCAAUUAAAGAUGACAAUUUACCAAGGGCAUUUCUACUGGACGUCGGUCACCUGAAAUAGGAAUUGGGUUCUCCUUUUCCAUUUGCCAUGUUUUUCUUUCAUCUUUAUUCUGUUAUUUUG